rnacentral:rRNA from 1 species
UGCCAGCAGCCGCGGUAAUACAGAGGGUGCAAGCGUUAAUCGGAAUUACUGGGCGUAAAGCGCGCGUAGGUGGUUCGUUAAGUUGGAUGUGAAAUCCCCGGGCUCAACCUGGGAACUGCAUCCAAAACUGGCGAGCUAGAGUAUGGUAGAGGGUGGUGGAAUUUCCUGUGUAGCGGUGAAAUGCGUAGAUAUAGGAAGGAACACCAGUGGCGAAGGCGACCACCUGGACUGAUACUGACACUGACGUGCGAAGGCGUGUGGGUAAAACAGGAGUAGAUA